AGUAACUUUCGAGACACACGAUGAAAAACGUUGCUAUGAUCAGUACCGAUACGACCUUCUGAAAAAUCGUUAGCGGAGUCUCAAAGUUCAGUCCAUUACGAUCUGUCGACGAGUUCGUUUGUAUCUUUCCUCUCUCCUCGAAAUGAACGUCAAUUUCGUUAAAGUCUCAACUAACAAAUUCAUACGAUUACACGAUGACAGCUAGAUACAAUACAUAAAGAUCUUCAUGAAUAACGGGAACAAAUACGCAGUAAUAACACAGGAUAACAACAUACGACAGCUUUUUAGAAUAUGUAACUCGAUGAGAAAUGUAGUUUUAUGUACAAAUUUUGACUCCAAAUUUAGAAUAUGUAAUUAAUUUGUCAACGUUAGAAUAUAGCGACUGAAGAAGGUCAUAGUAAGGCUGAAACUAGUCCCGCGUUAAUUAUUUUGAAUGUAAAAGAAAAUAUAUUUAAUUUCGAACAACUAGAAUUAUUGCUCGUCAUUGGCCCGUUUUGACACUAAAAAAAUUGUAAUAAAGUCAAAAUUUUGUAUUUUUCUUAACUAUUUAAUAAAUAAUUUGACGAUUAAAUAAAAUUCAAACUU
rnacentral:lncRNA from 13 species